AGAGUUUGAUUCUGGCUCAGGAUGAACGCUAGCGACAGGCCUAACACAUGCAAGUCGAGGGGCAGCGGGGAGGUAGCAAUACCUUUGCCGGCGACCGGCGCACGGGUGAGUAACACGUAUGCAAUCCACCUGUAACAGGGGGAUAACCCGGAGAAAUCCGGACUAAUACCCCAUAAUAUGGGCGCUCCGCAUGGAGAGUUCAUUAAAGAGAGCAAUUUUGGUUACAGACGAGCAUGCGCUCCAUUAGCCAGUUGGCGGGGUAACGGCCCACCAAAGCGACGAUGGAUAGGGGUUCUGAGAGGAAGGUCCCCCACAUUGGAACUGAGACACGGUCCAA
rnacentral:rRNA from 1 species